AAAAUGCUGGAUGAGUCAUGAAAUGCACAACACAUGUCAGACUUCAGAGAUGCCACGGCAUUCAUGAGAAGAUAUUUCAUAUUUUGAGCUAUUU